GGGGAUGUAGCUCAGCCGGAAGAGCGCCUGCUUCGCAUGCAGGAGGUCAGGGGUUCAAGUCCCCUCAUCUCCACCA
rnacentral:tRNA from 1 species